UCCUUUGCCCUUUGAAGUGUAAUGGAAUACGUGCUUGUAAACUGGCACAUGAACUGGAUACGGCUUUGCGACUGGAAUGGGAAAUUUCUUUUCGACGUACACUGGAUACGGCUUCUCCACCACAAAAGGGAUUUCCACGUGUUUCACAACUUCGACUGGAUAGGGGUGUGGAAUUUCAACGGGAACUUGUUGAGGUUGAGGAAUUGGUAUUUCUAUCUUUUGAGGAAUUUCGACUGGUACAGGAUGAGGGAUUGGAAUUGCUGUAAUUACACAACGAGUGGAGCUUCCAUGGUCUUCUUCGAUGUGGCCCGCAGAAACGAUCCCGGCGAUCAUCGCCAGACCAAAUAGAGCAAUCUACAAACAUUCGAUUGAUAAUCAUCGAUUCUGCGUAUCGAUACGUUACGUCUUGUAAUCUCCGUUCUUGUUCAGCCGUUAAUCGAAUCAAAGAACAUAUCAGGUAAUUAGGCUUAAUUUUUCUGUCGGCGAUACAAUUACAUUUUCGAUCAAUUUAAGGAAAUUACUAUUACGUAAUUCAUCUAUCAUCUUUCAAGU